AGGGGUGUAGUCAAGCGGUAAGACAACAGACUUUGACUCUGUGAUGCGUAGGUUCGAAUCCUGCCACCCCUGCCA
rnacentral:tRNA from 1 species